GGGGCACACGUCUAUAAUCCCAGCACUCCGGAGGCUGAGGCAGGAGGAUUGCCACGAAUUCUCCUCCCAGAACACAGAGAAUUCCACAUGUCCCUACUCUGAAAGAUCUUCAGAAUGGUAGGAAACUAACAUUUAGCCUGUGCUGCACCGUUGAGAGCAAAGAAGAGGGACCUCUUGAUGCCGUCUUGGUCAGGAAUGAGGCUGAGAAAGAAUAACCCCAAGACUGAAUGUUGACGGAUCACUAGGAAUUUUCCAGGCAAAAGUUGGGAAAAACAGUGCAGAAGAAAACCACUUGACGGAAGUUCUGGAGACUGGAUGUUGUAAAAGAUAUUGGUACCCAAGGGAUUCCUGGAGUUAAUCCUUGAUGGAUGCCAAGGGACAACUGACUACACAGAUCACCAGGUAGACGUCGAGUUCCAGGGAUGUGCUUGUUGUUGUGCCAGGAAGGUCUGUUGUGUGCAUAGUGUUCUGUCAUGCUUGCCCAACUCCAUAUCUGAAAAUGUUAUUUUAAGGA
rnacentral:lncRNA from 1 species